GGCUCAGUUGGUAGAGCAUGGUGUUUGCAAUGCCAGGGUUGUGGGUUCAAUUCCCAC
rnacentral:tRNA from 1 species